rnacentral:rRNA from 1 species
CUGGCGACGCGCCUUCCGAGUUCCCUGGAACGGGACGCCAUAGAGGGUGAGAGCCCCGUACGGUUGGAUGCCUAGCCUCUGUGAAACUCCUUCGACGAGUCGAGUAGUUUGGGAAUGCUGCUCUAAAUGGGAGGUAUACGUCUUCUAAAGCUAAAUACCGGCCAGAGACCGAUAGCGCACAAGUAGAGUGAUCGAAAGAUGAAAAGCACUUUGAAAAGAGGGUUAAAAAGUACGUGAAAUUGUUGAAAGGUAAGCGUUCAUGACCAGACUUGGGCAGGUUGAUCAUCCGUGGUUCUCCGCGGUGCACUCUGCCUGCCCAGGCCAGCNUCNNUUCGCCCCGGGGGAUAAAGGCUUUGGAAAUGUG